CAAGGAAGUCUGUAAGAAUACGUGUCCAGGAUCAAAAGGGUGAGAGGAUUUCAAAUCCUCUCCAUGGAUUCCGGAUCGCAGUAAUCUCAGUCCUGAAUUGUCUCCUCCACCAUACCUGGGCACCAAGAUGUCCCUGCUAAGUGAGCUUGUCUUCAUGGGAUUUGGCUUUCCCCUCCUUUUCCCGCACUAUGAUGGACGCCAACAAGAUGAUCAUCAAUUUGGCUGUCCUUGGCAAGACUCAGAGUGGGAAAAGUUCUGCUGGGAACGUUCUUUUGGGGAGUGCUGACUUCUACAGCAGGUUUGCUCCAGGUUCUGUAACCAAAGAUUGCAGCCUGGGUCGCAGUUGUCAUAUCCAUGGCUUCAUGCGUCGAGGAGGACACGAGAUUAGU
rnacentral:lncRNA from 1 species